rnacentral:misc_RNA from 1 species
GGAAGAACGUAGCGAAAUGCGAUACUUGGUGUGAAUUGCAGAAUCCCGUGAACCAUCGAGUCUUUGAACGCAAGUUGCGCCCGAAGCCAUCAGGUUGAGGGCACGUCUGCCUGGGCGUCACAUAUCGUUGCCCAAUGCCUAUUGCAGUGCAAUAGGAAUUUCUAGGGCGAAUGAUGGCUUCCCGUGAGCGUUGUUGCCUCGCGGUUGGUUGAAAAUCGAGUCCUUGGUAGGGUGUGCCAUGGUAGAUGGUGGUCGAGUUAGAACGAUACCGAUCAUGUGCAUGCUCCCCAAAAUAUGGCCUCUAUGACCCACACGCGUCUUUUGACGCUCAUGACGAGACCUCAGGUCAGGCGGGGCUACCCGCUGAAUUUAAGCAUAUCAAUAAGCGGAGGA